CCAUCACUCUAAAUGCAGCACAAACAUGUUCUCUUCAGCUCCACUGCUGCUGCUGGCUGCUGCCUCGUAUGUGUUCUGUGCUACUGAGCUCAUCCAGCCAGACUCAGUGCUCAUCAAACCAGCAGAGCCUUUAACCAUCACCUGUACAGUAUCUGGAGCUUCUAUCACUGACAGCAGCAGCCAUUAUGGAACAGCCUGGAUCCGCCAACCUGCAGGAAAAACUCUAGAAUGGAUCAACACCAUUUAUUAUAAUGGAAACAUAGCUGCUAAAGAUUCACUGAAAAGCAAGUUUAGUGUCUCUCGAGACACAACCAGAAACACAGUAACCCUACAAGGACAGAAUCUGCAAGCUGAAGACACAGCUGUGUAUUACUGUGCUCGACAAGCAUCACAGUGCUGUAAGAGACCAGCUGAGACACUGGACUUUGAUAACUACUCGAUGGGCUGGAUCAGACAGGCUGCUGGAAAAGGCUUAGAAUGGGUUGCAAUAAUUUCAGACAACAGUCAGUCCAAGACUUACUCUCAGUCUGUCCAAGGAAGGUUCACCAUUUCUAGAGACAACAGCAAAGACCAGCUGUAUCUGCAGAUGAGCAGCGUGAAGAAUGAAGACACUGCUGUGUAUUACUGUGUACGACAACCACACUGA